UGAAGCUGAAUAUGGCCUAUUCUUGGUGAAGGACCGAGAGGCUUUCAAAAAAAAGGAAAAAAAAGGGGGGGGGGGACUUAAAUUUACUACUCCCCACCUCCAAAUAUAAAUAACAGAUUCUAGCGUAAAACACGAUUCCAAGAAGUCAGAGGGGACAGACACUAUGUUGCCUCCGUUCACUAGG
rnacentral:lncRNA from 12 species